rnacentral:rRNA from 1 species
UCCGUAGGGUGCAGGCGUUAAUCGGAAUUACUGGGCGUAAAGCGUGCGCAGGCGGUUAUGUAAGACAGUUGUGAAAUCCCCGGGCUCAACCUGGGAACUGCAUCUGUGACUGCAUAGCUAGAGUACGGUAGAGGGGGAUGGAAUUCCGCGUGUAGCAGUGAAAUGCGUAGAUAUGCGGAGGAACACCGAUGGCGAAGGCAAUCCCCUGGACCUGUACUGACGCUCAUGCACGAAAGCGUGGGGAGCAAACAGG